CUAUAGUGUCAGGAAAACAAACCCGUUUUCCUGACAUUAUAUAAUCCAUGGGGGACCUUCAGCCUCAGGGUCCCCCUCCCGUGGCGCUGAAGGGGUUAAAACCCCUUCAGCCACUUACCUUUAUCCAGCGCCGGGCUCCCUCUGCGCUGGUGACCUCUCCUCCCCCGCCGAUGUCAACUCUCGAGUGGAGCGAAAUCUGCA